rnacentral:rRNA from 1 species
UCAUACGCUCGUCUCAAAGAUUAAGCCAUGCAUGUCUAAGUAUAAAUCUUUUACUUUGAAACUGCGAACGGCUCAUUAUAUCAGUUAUAGUUUAUUUGAUAGUCCCUUACUACUUGGAUAACCGUAGUAAUUCUAGAGCUAAUACAUGCGUCAACACCUUUGGGGUGGUAUUUAUUAGAAAGAAACCAACCCCUUCGGGGUGAUGUGGUGAAUCAUAAUAAGUUUGCGAAUCGCACGGCUUUGCUGGCGAUGGAUCAUUCAAGUUUCUGCCCUAUCAGCUUUGGAUGGUAGGGUAUUGGCCUACCAUGGCUUUAACGGGGUAACGGGAAAUUAGGGUUUGAUUCCGGGAGAGGGAGCCUGAGAGACGGGCUACCACAUCCAA